rnacentral:rRNA from 1 species
CCUACGGGAGACAGCAGUGAGGAAUAUUGGUCAAUGGACGAGAGUCUGAACCAGCCAAGUAGCGUGAAGGAUGACUGCCCUAUGGGUUGUAAACUUCUUUUAUAUGGGAAUAAAAUGUUCCACGUGUGGGAUUUUGUAUGUACCAUAUGAAUAAGGAUCAGCUAACUCCGUGCCAGCAGCCGCGGUAAUACGGAGGAUCCGAGCGUUAUCCGGAUUUAUUGGGUUUAAAGGGCGCGUAGGUGGAUUGUUAAGUCAGUUGUGAAAGUUUGCGGCUCAACCGUGAAAUUGCAGUUGAAACUGGCAGUCUUGAGUACGGUAGAGGUGGGCGGAAUUCGUGGUGUAGCGGUGAAAUGCUUAGAUAUCACGAAGAACUCCGAUUGCGAAGGCAGUUCACUGGACUGCAACUGACACUGAGGCUCGAAAGUGUGGGUAUCAAACAGGAUUAGAUACCCGUGUAGUC